rnacentral:rRNA from 1 species
AUGCUCUCGGCGGCCACGCUCCCGGCGGUGCACAACAUGCAGGCGGCGCUCGUCAAGGCCGGACUGGCCCGCCAGGUGCGCGUCACCGUGCCCCUCAACGCCGACGUCUACGAGUCGCUCGACGUCCGCCCCUCCUCGGGCGACUUCCGCCCGGACAUCACGGCCCUCAUGACCAGCCUCGUUCGCUUCCUCCUCGACAGCGGUGGCGUGCUGGCCAUCAACAUCUACCCCUUCCUCUCCAUGGACGCCGACGCCAACUUCCCGCGCGACUACGCCUUCUUCCCGGCCCCCGGCGCCAGCGUGCAGGACGGCAACGUGCUCUACACCAACGUCUUCGACGCCAACUACGACACCCUCGUCGCCGCGCUCGAGAAGCACGGCCUCGGGAACAUCACCGUCGUGGUGGGCGAGAUCGGAUGGCCCACCGACGGCGACGCCAACGCCAACGCCGCCGGAGCGCACAAGUUCAACCAGGGCCUCUUCGACCGCAUCGUCGCCGGCAAGGGCACCCCGCGCCGGCCCCAGAUGCCCGACGUCUACGUGUUCGCGCUGCUGGACAAGGACGCCAAGAGCGUCGACCCCGGCAACUUCGAGCGCCACUGGGGCGUCUUCAACUACGACGGCUCGCCCAAGUACGCGCUCCGGCUCGCCGGCGGCAAGGGCAUCGUGCCGGCCAAGGGCGUCAGGUACCUCUCCAAGCAGUGGUGCGUGCUCCGCCCCGACGCCAGCCCCACCGACCCGGCCAUCAUCGGCGCCGUCGGGUACGCGUGCCAGUACGCCGACUGCACCAGCCUCAGCCCCGGCUCCUCCUGCGGCGGCCUCGACGUCCGGGGCAACGUCUCCUACGCCUUCAACCAGUUCUUCCAGUCCGCCAGCCAGCAGAAGGGAUCCUGCGGCUUCAACAACCUCUCCGUGGUCACCACCACCAACCCGUCGCGGGGGACCUGCCGCUUCAAGAUCAUGAUCGACACCGGCCGGCACGACCUCACCCACCAGGACGACUCCGGCGCCGCCAGGGCCGCCGCCGCGUGGGGCGCCGUCAUCGCCGUGCUCGCAUUGCUCGCCAUCGUCGCACUCUGA